GAUGAACGCUAGCUACAGGCUUAACACAUGCAAGUCGAGGGGUCUCGCGGGAGCUUGCUUCCAAGAGACGACCGGCGCACGGGUGAGUAACGCGUAUCCAACCUGCCCUUCAUAUUGGGAUAGCCUUCCGAAAGGAAGAUUAAUACCGAAUAACAUGAGAAUGUUGCCUGAUUCUCUCAUGAAAGCUCCGGCGAUGAAGGAUGGGGAUGCGUUCCAUUAGGUAGUAGGCGGGGUAACGGCCCACCUAGCCCAUGAUGGAUAGGGGUUCUGAGAGGAAGGUCCCCCACACUGGAACUGAGACACGGGCCAGACUCCUACGGGAGGCAGCAGUGAGGAAUAUUGGUCAAUGGGCGCAAGCCUGAACCAGCCAAGUAGCGUGAAGGAUGACUGCCCUAUGGGUUGUAAACUUCUUUUAUACGGGAACAAACCUUGGUACGCGUACCAAAUUGCGUGUACCGUAUGAAUAAGCAUCGGCUAACUCCGUGCCAGCAGCCGCAGUAAUAC
rnacentral:rRNA from 1 species